ensembl:lncRNA
UGUCAAACUAAAUUCCUUUAGGGCCAGAGCCCUGCAGCAUUUUGUUCCAACCCUGCUCAAACAAACAUAGCAUGUAGUUUUCAAAUGAGCCUGAAGGGCGUGAUUAGUUGGAUUAGGUCUGUUUAAUUAGGGUUGAAUUUAAACUCUGCAGGGCUCCGGCCCUCUAUGAAUUGACUUUGACACCCAUGGCUUAGAAGAAAGAGCGAGGUUCUCUGUUCCCUUCUUUGUGGUUGUCCCUGUCUCCUGGGGGCAAAAGGCCACAGCUCCUAUGGAGGGCAGGUAACAUGACGUUUUAUGAAAAACUGUGAGGUUACAGGUAAAUUCCCUGAAUCUCAUCCAGCGACAUUGCGUUUAGUCCUGUGCCAUCCUUUGAUAUACAAUGUCAUAGAAAUUCCAUGCUCAUGCUGGGCUAAUGCUGAAUGAAUGCAGUGAUAGCAUCCCUCUCAUGUAACAUGUGGCCAUGUCCUCCUGAGGUUUUGUUAAGUUUCAAAGGCCAUAUUGCUGCAAUGGUUCGGUCCUGCAGAUUUGCCUUAUACGACGUUAAGAAGAUUAGACCCUUCUGAUCAGAGCAGGCCACACAACUCCUUGUCCAAGCUCUUGUUCUCUCCAGACUGGACUUUUGUUAUGGUCCCUUGGUGCGUCUUCCGGCACGUACUAUCAAGCCUCUGCAACUGGUCCAGAAUGCAGCAGCGAGAGUGGUCUUCAACGAGCCAAAGAAAGCCCACGUCACACCUCUGUUCAUAAUUCGGCACUGGCUACCAACAGCUGCUCACAUUAGAUUCGAGGUACUGAUGUUUGCCUGCAAGAUAACCAGUGGCUGUUCAGCAAUAUACCUAAACUUGCUGGUUCAGACCUAUGUCAAGUCAAGUCAAGUCAAGUCAUCUUUAUUUAUAUAGCGCUUUAAACAAAAAAGAUUGCAUCAAAGCAACUGAACAACAUUAAUUAGGAAAACAGUGUGUCAAUAAUGCAAAAUGACAGUUAAAGGCAGUUCAUCAUUGAAUUCAGUGAUGUCAUCAUGCAGCUCAGUUCAGUUUAAAUAGUAUCUGUGCAAUAAUUUGCAAUCAAGUCAACGAUAUCGCUGUAAAUGAAGUGUCCCCAACUAAGCAAGCCAGAGGCAACAGCGGCAAGGAACCAAAACUCCAUCAGUGACAGAAUGGAGAAAAAACCUUGGGAGAAACCAUAACAUUAAUAACAUUAAUAACAUACAUAAUUUAUAACAUAAUAACAUUACAAUAAAUUUAUAGAAAUCAUUUGUAACAUUAAAUGUCUUUACUGAGAUUUUUUUUAUCAAUUUAAUGACUCCUUUUUCAGUAAAAGUAUCAAUAUUUUAAUCAAUAUUAAUAUCAAUAACUUUUGAAUGGUAGUUUGUAUGAAAUCUAUUUAUAAAAUAUUGAUUUUUUUCUUUAUUAAAAUAUGGUUUUCUGGUAUUAAAAAUAUUU